rnacentral:lncRNA from 1 species
AAUUUUGCCAUAGGCCUUACUUAAAUAUGUGUAUGUAUGUAUUCUCAGUAAUUAAAUGUUUUGUUCUUUAUACAAAGACGACUUCAGAUGUUAAAAUUGGCCACAGUUUGUCUCAGAGAAGCUGUGUAGACUCUACUUAUUCAACCGUGAUGUUUUAUUUUCAGGUUUAUCAAUGUGCCCAGAAAAAAUAUUUAACCACUAUUACUGAGACGUUGCAGACAACAGGUAGCAAUGAUUGAAGAUUCAUCUAAAACGGGUCUCCAAACUACGGCCCGAGGGCCACAUCCGGCCCGCGGAGAGCUAGC